rnacentral:rRNA from 1 species
UUAAGCGACUAAGCGUACACGGUGGAUGCCCUGGCAGUCAGAGGCGAUGAAGGACGUGCUAAUCUGCGAUAAGCGUCGGUAAGGUGAUAUGAACCGUUAUAACCGGCGAUUUCCGAAUGGGGAAACCCAGUGUGUUUCGACACACUAUCAUUAACUGAAUCCAUAGGUUAAUGAGGCGAACCGGGGGAACUGAAACAUCUAAGUACCCCGAGGAAAAGAAAUCAACCGAGAUUCCCCCAGUAGCGGCGAGCGAACGGGGAGCAGCCCAGAGCCUGAAUCAGUGUGUGUGUUAGUGGAAGCGUCUGGAAAGGCGCGCGAUACAGGGUGACAGCCCCGUACACAAAAAUGCACAUGCUGUGAGCUCGAUGAGUAGGGCGGGACACGUGGUAUCCUGUCUGAAUAUGGGGGGACCAUCCUCCAAGGCUAAAUACUCCUGACUGACCGAUAGUGAACCAGUACCGUGAGGGAAAGGCGAAAAGAACCCCGGCGAGGGGAGUGAAAAAGAACCUGAAACCGUGUACGUACAAGCAGUGGGAGCACGCUUAGGCGUGUGACUGCGUACCUUUUGUAUAAUGGGUCAGCGACUUAUAUUCUGUAGCAAGGUUAACCGAAUAGGGGAGCCGAAGGGAAACCGAGUCUUAACUGGGCGUUAAGUUGCAGGGUAUAGACCCGAAACCCGGUGAUCUAGCCAUGGGCAGGUUGAAGGUUGGGUAACACUAACUGGAGGACCGAACCGACUAAUGUUGAAAAAUUAGCGGAUGACUUGUGGCUGGGGGUGAAAGGCCAAUCAAACCGGGAGAUAGCUGGUUCUCCCCGAAAGCUAUUUAGGUAGCGCCUCGUGAAUUCAUCUCCGGGGGUAGAGCACUGUUUCGGCAAGGGGGUCAUCCCGACUUACCAACCCGAUGCAAACUGCGAAUACCGGAGAAUGUUAUCACGGGAGACACACGGCGGGUGCUAACGUCCGUCGUGAAGAGGGAAACAACCCAGACCGCCAGCUAAGGUCCCAAAGUCAUGGUUAAGUGGGAAACGAUGUGGGAAGGCCCAGACAGCCAGGAUGUUGGCUUAGAAGCAGCCAUCAUUUAAAGAAAGCGUAAUAGCUCACUGGUCGAGUCGGCCUGCGCGGAAGAUGUAACGGGGCUAAACCAUGCACCGAAGCUGCGGCAGCGACGCUGAUGCGUUGUUGGGUAGGGGAGCGUUCUGUAAGCCUGCGAAGGUGUGCUGUGAGGCAUGCUGGAGGUAUCAGAAGUGCGAAUGCUGACAUAAGUAACGAUAAAGCGGGUGAAAAGCCCGCUCGCCGGAAGACCAAGGGUUCCUGUCCAACGUUAAUCGGGGCAGGGUGAGUCGACCCCUAAGGCGAGGCCGAAAGGCGUAGUCGAUGGGAAACAGGUUAAUAUUCCUGUACUUGGUGUUACUGCGAAGGGGGGACGGAGAAGGCUAUGUUGGCCGGGCGACGGUUGUCCCGGUUUAAGCGUGUAGGCUGGUUUUCCAGGCAAAUCCGGAAAAUCAAGGCUGAGGCGUGAUGACGAGGCACUACGGUGCUGAAGCAACAAAUGCCCUGCUUCCAGGAAAAGCCUCUAAGCAUCAGGUAACAUCAAAUCGUACCCCAAACCGACACAGGUGGUCAGGUAGAGAAUACCAAGGCGCUUGAGAGAACUCGGGUGAAGGAACUAGGCAAAAUGGUGCCGUAACUUCGGGAGAAGGCACGCUGAUAUGUAGGUGAAGUCCCUCGCGGAUGGAGCUGAAAUCAGUCGAAGAUACCAGCUGGCUGCAACUGUUUAUUAAAAACACAGCACUGUGCAAACACGAAAGUGGACGUAUACGGUGUGACGCCUGCCCGGUGCCGGAAGGUUAAUUGAUGGGGUCAGCGCAAGCGAAGCUCUUGAUCGAAGCCCCGGUAAACGGCGGCCGUAACUAUAACGGUCCUAAGGUAGCGAAAUUCCUUGUCGGGUAAGUUCCGACCUGCACGAAUGGCGUAAUGAUGGCCAGGCUGUCUCCACCCGAGACUCAGUGAAAUUGAACUCGCUGUGAAGAUGCAGUGUACCCGCGGCAAGACGGAAAGACCCCGUGAACCUUUACUAUAGCUUGACACUGAACAUUGAGCCUUGAUGUGUAGGAUAGGUGGGAGGCUUAGAAGUGUGGACGCCAGUCUGCAUGGAGCCGACCUUGAAAUACCACCCUUUAAUGUUUGAUGUUCUAACGUUGACCCGUAAUCCGGGUUGCGGACAGUGUCUGGUGGGUAGUUUGACUGGGGCGGUCUCCUCCUAAAGAGUAACGGAGGAGCACGAAGGUUGGCUAAUCCUGGUCGGACAUCAGGAGGUUAGUGCAAUGGCAUAAGCCAGCUUGACUGCGAGCGUGACGGCGCGAGCAGGUGCGAAAGCAGGUCAUAGUGAUCCGGUGGUUCUGAAUGGAAGGGCCAUCGCUCAACGGAUAAAAGGUACUCCGGGGAUAACAGGCUGAUACCGCCCAAGAGUUCAUAUCGACGGCGGUGUUUGGCACCUCGAUGUCGGCUCAUCACAUCCUGGGGCUGAAGUAGGUCCCAAGGGU